AGCUCCAAUAGCGUAUAUUAAAGUUGUUGUGGUUAAAGAGCUCGUAGUUGGAUCUCAACAGCCUUGAAGCGGUUAACUUUGUAGUUUUACUGCUUUGUAGGCUGUGCUUUUGCUGGAGGUUUAGGGGUGCUCUUGAUCGAGUGUCUCUGGAUGCCAGCAGGUUUACUUUGAAAAAAUUAGAGUGCUCAAAGCAGGCUAAAAUGCCUGAAUAUUCGUGCAUGGAAUAAUAGAUUUGGAUGUCUUUCCCGUGUGCGUUCUGUUCUACUCUCUACAUCUUGAUUUUUAGUUUCAGUCUUGGGCCUUUGUCUUCAAACGUCCUAGGUGAAAUUCUUGGACCGUUUGAAGACAAACUACUGCGAAAGCAUUUGCCAAGAAUGUUUUCA
rnacentral:rRNA from 1 species